CCUACGGGAGGCAGCAGUGGGGAAUAUUGCACAAUGGGGUAAACCCUGAUGCAGCGACGCCGCGUGAGUGAAGAAGUAUUUCGGUAUGUAAAGCUCUAUCAGCAGGGAAGAAACUGCCGGUACCUGAUUAAGAAGCCCCGGCUAACUACGUGCCAGCAGCCGCGGUAAUACGUAGGGGGCAAGCGUUAUCCGGAUUUACUGGGUGUAAAGGGAGCGUAGACGGCAGCACAAGUCUGGAGUGAAAUGCCGGGGCUUAACCCCGGAACUGCUUUGGAAACUGUGCAGCUUGAGUGCAGGAGAGGUAAGCGGAAUUCCUAGUGUAGCGGUGAAAUGCGUAGAUAUUAGGAGGAACACCAGUGGCGAAGGCGGCUUACUGGACUGUAACUGACGUUGAGGCUCGAAAGCGUGGGGAGCAAACAGGAUUAGAUACCCUAGUAGUC
rnacentral:rRNA from 1 species